UGAUUUUACAUUUAAAAUAAUGAGUUCAGGUAUCUUUUACUUUUUAAUAGGUUUAAUACCAUUAGCAUUCAUAUUUGCUUUUUCAGGUUUAGAAUUAGGUAUAGCUUUUAUACAAAGUCAAGUAUUUAUAGUUUUAACUUGUUCUUACAUAAGAGAUUCAUUAGAAUUACAUUAAAUAAAUUCAAAUUAAAAAUAAUGAUAUAAAAAGGAAAGUCCAUAGUUAUAAUGUAUAUAUAAAUAUAAUAUUAAGAAUUUUGGAUUAUUUGAAGAAACAAAUAUCAAAUUUUAAUUUGAUAUAUCGAGCACUACUCCUAUACUAACUAAUAUAAAAUAUAUAACUAUAUUAACACUUUUUUUUUAGGGGUUAAAUACAGAAUAUGGCUUAAUUAUAUCUUAUUAAAACAAA
rnacentral:snoRNA from 1 species